AUGUGCCGGCCUGGCCUCCCGCCGGUCCGGCUGCACCAAGGCUCGAGGCCGAUGAGAACAUCGACCCGGCGCUGGCGGCUCCGCGCCGCCUCCGUUCUGGUGCUCGGCGCAUGGCUGGGUAGUAUGCCCCUGUAUCACCACGACUUUGUGGUGGCCGAUCCGGUCGUCGCGGCGCCUCAGGAGGAGGGAACCGUCGUCAUCGACGAUGAAGAAGUUGGGGACGCGCCGCUGCAGCAUCCGACCCCGGCGGUUGUAGAGGCCGAUGGCGGCGCGCCGCUCCCGAUGCUGCUGACGAUGGCGCACAUCCCGGCCACACAUCAAGUGCAAGUUCAUGACGGUGACACGCUCGCCUUCGUGUCCGCGCUGACCGGAGCCUCCGCCUUCUGCCUUCGGCUCUGGCGUGAGAGGUUCCACUAG
rnacentral:rRNA from 1 species